rnacentral:lncRNA from 1 species
CACCAAGUCAAAUUAAAGAAGAUUAGGUAAAAGCUGGUCCAGCCAACCAGUCAUAAAUCCUCCCACUGACUUUAUCAAGUCACGAAGAGGACACAAGACAAAUCGAACUAGGGGUACUUAAAUCAGUCACACUGAUUUUCUAGCUAGCAUGGGUCAACUCCAAUCAUUAAGUGAUUUAAUCAAAACAUGAUUCACCAUGUUGGUUAGAUAAGUG